rnacentral:rRNA from 1 species
UACGGAGGGUGCAAGCGUUAUCCGGAUUUAUUGGGUUUAAAGGGUGCGUAGGCGGACUGAUAAGUCAGUGGUGAAAUCCCAUAGCUCAACUAUGGAACUGCCAUUGAUACUGGCAAACUUGAGUUAUUGUGAAGUAGUUAGAAUGUGUAGUGUAGCGGUGAAAUGCAUAGAUAUUACACAGAAUACCGAUUGCGAAAGCAGAUUACUAAUAAUCAACUGACACUGAUGGACGAAAGCGUGGGUAGCGAACAGG